AGCAGGGUAGUGAGUAGUGGUAGCUCUCCGGUCUCAUAAGCCGGCACGAAAGUCCCGUUGGGUUCGAUUCCCACCUCUGCUUCCA
rnacentral:tRNA from 1 species